rnacentral:rRNA from 1 species
GAGUCGGUUGUCAUAAUUAGGGGAGGGGGGGAAGGGAGGGAACUUCAGGUGUACUCGUCGAGACUAACAAGGAGUUCGAGCCAGAGCCGCAUCCUUCUUCUUUCCCUUCGGAUCCUAUCCGGGACGAGUGGAAGGCGGCGGUGGUUUGCGAAGAACCACCCCGUUCCUUCCUUAACGGCCUUUUCGGAGAGGGGACGGAGGGCAAGAGAAGAAGAAAUUGAUCGGAACCGCUAACGGAUCUCCAAGUCUUCCCGUCUCGCGGCCUCGGCCUGUCUCUCUCCCCGUCCAAACACCCCUAGCCCUUCUACUACCGCUCCGCCCGGAACCAACGGUAACGCCAAGAACGCCGCCGCCGCCGCGACGAACAACGCCGCCUCCGGGUCGUCCGCGGCCGCGUCGUCCCGGUGGUCUGUCUCUCCUAGAGUCCCUCACGACCACUGCACGACCUGCUACUGGGACAACCCUCCGAGUUCCACAAAUAGAUACUGGAGGGACCUUUUAUGUUGUUCUUCGACGACUUCUUUCUGGGUUCCACGGACUUGGUGUACAAGCGGCGCCUCUAGAAGUACGUGGCCAAGGACGACAGCUCGCGCCAAGCCUGGUGAUUAGGGCUCCUUCGCCUAACCAAGAUGUGUGGACACAUGGGCUGUACGCUGGACUGCGGAAGCCCAGAGGGGAACGGGAAGUUCAGAGGCGCCUACUACGCGUCGCGCUAGCUCGACUAGCGCUGCUUUACCGGAAUGACCUUAUCUAGCCUCCCCCGUCUAGUAAAGAAACAGUGCGGUGUACUGAAACCGCGAACGAAGGUAAUAGUCCUUCUCUUUCGUUAACCCGCUCCUUAGGAAGGGAACGAAGUCGCACGGUGUGACCAAGUCUGGAAACCUGUCUUCUUGGUACAGACGAACUUCCUUCCGAGGUAGUGUUAAGGCGGUAAACGCGGAGGCGUCUUUUACGUCUUAGUGGAAUAAGGACCGCUCUGGGGAGCUAGGUAGAAGCGUAUGAAGGCACCAAACAAGAUACUGUGGCCGUUACUAGGACUCCCACCUAUGAUACGGUCUCCACGAGCACGUAGACAGACCCUCUUGAAGUUCUUGUUGGGCGACAAGCUGUAGAGUUGGCUAGUGGGUGGCUGUAUGAUACUUCUAUACGUCUCCAGACACAAGACGGACACGGGUAACCCGACCCGUGGUACCUCGGGGUCUGACCACCUUCGGCACCAAAAGCCGACGUAGGGCCACUAGUAGCGUCUGCUGUAGCAGGACGGGAAGCGCCUACGGUAGGGUACCCUCCUCUAGCCGCACAAACAAGGACUCCUCCUGCAGGGCUCCGACCUGUCGUAGGACUGUAGGUAAGGUUGUCUCCUGUAUGACUCCUUCGUUUCCGAAGAGCGUUUGGGAAGCUACUUCGUCCGGUACGACAAGGGGGUCGGUCGAGUUCGUCCUCUACGCAAGGUAGUCUAUGAAUUGCCCGAACGGGCGUUCGAAGGCGUACCGCUUCUACAGAAGAACUUCGGGCCGGUCCGGGCAGACUUGACCUGACGACCGGGCCACCCACUGGACUUCGGCACCAUCGUAGAGAGCGUAGCGCCAACCUCUACAUAUUUUUGGAAAAACUUUUAUUUGUAAAAGUCCGGACUAUAUGAAACGCGGAAAUAUGGCGGUACCAACGUGUCACGACUGGUAUUCAGUUUACAUGUAGAAAAAAAGAAAAUGGAAGAAACGACUAUCGAUCAUAUGGUAUCUCGAAGUAGGGAAAAAAAAGGGAAAGAAGAAAAAUAUAAUCAACUACUUUACACAGUUGGUAACACGUCAAACAAGCAAUAUACACCUAUACUAUUACCUUUAACGUUCUAAAUUUGGGAUAACUGG